rnacentral:rRNA from 1 species
CGGUAAUGACCUUCCGUAGGUGAACCUGCGGAGCGAUCAUUACCGAGUUUACAACUCCCAAACCCCUGUGAACAUACCAAUUGUUGCCUCGGCGGAUCAGCCCGCUCCCGGUAAAACGGGACGGCCCGCCAGAGGACCCCUAAACUCUGUUUCUAUAUGUAACUUCUGAGUAAAACCAUAAAUAAAUCAAAACUUUCAACAACGGAUCUCUUGGUUCUGGCAUCGAUGAAGAACGCAGCAAAAUGCGAUAAGUAAUGUGAAUUGCAGAAUUCAGUGAAUCAUCGAAUCUUUGAACGCACAUUGCGCCCGCCAGUAUUCUGGCGGGCAUGCCUGUUCGAGCGUCAUUUCAACCCUCAAGCCCCCGGGUUUGGUGUUGGGGAUCGGCGAGCCCUUGCGGCAAGCCGGCCCCGAAAUCUAGUGGCGGUCUCGCUGCAGCUUCCAUUGCGUAGUAGUAAAACCCUCGCAACUGGUACGCGGCGCGGCCAAGCCGUUAAACCCCCAACUUCUGAAUGUUGACCUCGGAUCAGGUAGGAAUACCCGCUGAACUUAAGCAUAUCAAUAGCGGGAGGAA